rnacentral:rRNA from 1 species
GAUGAACGCUGGCGGCGUGCCUAAUACAUGCAAGUCGAGCGAACAGACGAGGAGCUUGCUCCUUUGACGUUAGCGGCGGACGGGUGAGUAACACGUGGAUAACCUACCUAUAUGACUGGGAUAACCUCGGGAAACCGGCGCUAAUACCGGAUAAUAUACUGAACCGCAUGGUUCAAUAGUGAAAGACGGCUUUGGUGUCUCUUAUAGAUGGUUCCGCGCCGCAUUAGCUAGUUGGUAAGGUAACGGCUUACCAAGGCAACGAUGCGUAGCCGACCUGAGAGGGUGAUCGGCCACACUGGAACGGAGACACGGUCCAGACUCCUACGGGAGGCAGCAGUAGGGAAUCUUCCGCAGUGGGCGGAAGCCUGGCGGAGCAGCGCCGCGUGAGUGGUGAAGGUCUUCGGAUCGUAAAGCUCUGUUAUUAGGGAAGAACAAAUGUGUAAGUAACUAUGCACGUCUUGACGGUACCUAAUCAGAAAGCCACGGCUAACUACGUG